AGAGUUUGAUCCUGGCUCAGGAUGAACGCUGGCGGCGUGCUUAACACAUGCAAGUCGAACGGGGUUAUCAUUUUGAAGCGAUUAGCUUGCUAAGAGUGGAAAAGUUGAUAACUUAGUGGCGGACGGGUGAGUAACGCGUGGGUAACCUGCCUUACACAGGGGGAUAACACUUAGAAAUAGGUGCUAAUACCGCAUAAGCGCACAGUCCCGCAUGGGACAGAGUGAAAAACAUUAGUGGUGUAAGAUGGACCCGCGUCUGAUUAGCUUGUUGGCGGGGUAACGGCCCACCAAGGCGACGAUCAGUAGCCGGCCUGAGAGGGUGGACGGCCACAUUGGGACUGAGACACGGCCCAAACUCCUACGGGAGGCAGCAGUGGGGGAUAUUGGACAAUGGGGGAAACCCUGAUCCAGCGACGCCGCGUGAGUGAAGAAGUAUUUCGGUAUGUAAAGCUCUAUCAGCAGGGAAGAAAGAAAUGACGGUACCUGAGUAAGAAGCCCCGGCUAACUACGUGCCAGCAGCCGCGGUAAUACGUAGGGGGCAAGCGUUAUCCGGAAUUACUGGGUGUAAAGGGAGCGUAGACGGUAAUGCAAGUCUGGAGUGAAAGGCGGGGGCCCAACCCCCGGACUGCUCUGGAAACUGUGUAACUGGAGUGCAGGAGAGGCAGGCGGAAUUCCUAGUGUAGCGGUGAAAUGCGUAGAUAUUAGGAGGAACACCAGUGGCGAAGGCGGCCUGCUGGACUGUAACUGACGUUGAGGCUCGAAAGCGUGGGGAGCAAACAGGAUUAGAUACCCUGGUAGUCCACGCCGUAAA
rnacentral:rRNA from 1 species